GGGAACUGUGCGAUGAAGCUUGGAAUAGGUUAAGCAACAGCACUAGUGAAAGAACACUCCUAUCCACCCUGAAUUGAGUCUGAGUUUGACUGAAAUGACUCAUGGACAUCUUCAUACGCAGUGUGUACUGAUGAUCCAGGGUCGUGGGGUAACCUGAAGCCUAUCCCAGGGGCACUUGGGGCACAAGGCGGGGGGACACCCUGGAUGGGCAUCGCACAAUCUCACACUAAAUCAGCCUACAAGAAGUCUUUGGACUGGCGGAGGAAACCAGAGUACCCAGAGGAAACCCCCGAAGCACAGGGAGAACAUGCAAGUUCUGCACACACAGGCCGGAGGCAAACUCCCAACCCCAGAGAGCAGUCGCCAGGGAGACCAGGUCGGCAUCACCGUGGUGACAGGCUUCCCACAGGUCGAGCAGCACACCUGUGGGACUUGGCUUGGUGGCAAAGUAGUUCAGGUACCUGUGCAAGGGACAUGGAAAGAGC